rnacentral:sRNA from 10 species
UCUCUUUGUCUCCCACCAAAAAUAAAAUAAAAAGAAAACUCUGACUUUCUCGUCUCCUUUCCCCGACUUCCAUACCAAAACCUUCAAUAAAGUCAAGAAAACAGGGAGAGGUAACUUGGGUUUCUUGAAACCUAUCCAGCGUCCAAAGGUUUUUGGCCAUAGCUAUAGCAGAUUUAUUAUCAAGCCACAAAUCAGUAGCUUCAAGCUGAGGCAUAGUGAGCUCAUGAAGAGCCUUCCUCACCCAAAUUGCAUGAUUUGCUGCUGAAGUUGCAGCCACAUACUCAGCUUCUGCAGAAGAUUGAGCAACCCUGUCUUACUUAUGGGAGCUCCAAGAAAACGUGCCAUUUCCAAGAGUGAAUACAUACCCGGAAGUGCUCUUUGCAUCAUCUAGAGAUCCAGCCCAGUCACUAUUAGAAAAUCCUGAUAGUUUGACAGCCUUUGUAUUAGUGAACUUCAAACCAAAAGCUGUUGUACCUUUUAAAUACCUAAGUAUUCUUUUUGCAGCAACAAAAUGACAGCUUCUUGAUUUUUGCAUAAAACGAGAUAAAUAGCUGACAGCAAACAUAACAUCAGGCCUUGUUGCACAUGGGUACAGAAGACAACCAAUAAGACUUCUAUAUUGAGAAGGA